CAGUCGCCACGGUAGUACGUAGGGUGCGAGCGUUAAUCGGGAUUACUGGGCGUAAAGCGUGCGCAGGCGGUUUUGUAAGACAGGCGUGAAAUCCCCGGGCUCAACCUGGGAAUGGCGCUUGUGACUGCAAAGCUAGAGUGCGGCAGAGGGGGAUGGAAUUCCGCGUGUAGCAGUGAAAUGCGUAGAUAUGCGGAGGAACACCGAUGGCAAAGGCAAUCCCCUGGGCCUGCACUGACGCUCAUGCACGAAAGCGUGGGGAGCAAACAGGAUUAGAUACCCCUGUAGUCCCUGUCUCUUAUAC
rnacentral:rRNA from 1 species